GACGAACGCUGGCGGCGUGCUUAACACAUGCAAGUCGAACGGAAAGGCCCUGCUUUUGUGGGGCGCUCGAGUGGCGAACGGGUGAGUAACACGUGAGUAACCUGCCCUUGACUUUGGGAUAACUUCAGGAAACUGGGGCUAAUACCGGAUAGGAGCUCCUGCUGCAUGGUGGGGGUUGGAAAGUUUCGGCGGUUGGGGAUGGACUCGCGGCUUAUCCGCUUGUUGGUGGGGUAGGGGCUUACCAAGGCUUUGACGGGUAGCCGGCCUGAGCGGGUGACCGGCCACCUUGGGACUGAGAUACGGCCCAGACUCCUACGGGAGGCAGCAGUGGGGAAUAUUGCACAAUGGGCGGAAGCCUGAUGCAGCAACGCCGCGUGCGGGAUGACGGCCUUCGGGUUGUAAACCGCUUUCGCCUGUGACGAAGCGUGAGUGACGGUAAUGGGUAAAGAAGCACCGGCUAACUACGUG
rnacentral:rRNA from 1 species